AUUGAACGCUGGCGGCAGGCCUAACACAUGCAAGUCGAGCGAGCGGCGGACGGGUGAGUAAUGUCUGGGAAACUGCCUGAUGGAGGGGGAUAACUACUGGAAACGGUAGCUAAUACCGCAUACCAUCAGAUGUGCCCAGAUGGGAUUAGCUAGUAGGUGGGGUAAUGGCUCACCUAGGCGACGAUCCCUAGCUGGUCUGAGAGGAUGACCAGCCACACGGGAACUUGGACAGGCACCAUACUCCUACGGUAGGCAGCAGUGGGGAAUAUUGCACAAUGGGCGAAAGCCUGAUGCAGCCAUGCCGCGGGUGUGAAGAAGGCCUUCGGGUUGUAAAGCACUUUCAGCGGGGAGGCGUUACCCGCAGAAGAAGCACCGGCUAACUCCGUGCCAGCAGCCGCGGUAAUUC
rnacentral:rRNA from 1 species